GAACGCUAGCUACAGGCUUAACACAUGCAAGUCGAGGGGCAGCAUUUCAGUUUGCUUUGCAACUGGAGAAGGCGACCGGCGCACGGGUGAGUAACACGUAUCCAACCUGCCGAUAACUCGGGGAUAGCCUUUCGAAAGAAAGAUUAAUACCCGAUGGUAUAAUCAGACCGCAUGGUCUUGUUAUUAAAGAAUUUCGGUUAUCGAUGGGGAUGCGUUCCAUUAGGCAGUUGGUGAGGUAACGGCUCACCAAACCUUCGAUGGAUAGGGGUUCUGAGAGGAAGGUCCCCCACAUUGGAACUGAGACACGGUCCAAACUCCUACGGGAGGCAGCAGUGAGGAAUAUUGGUCAAUGGGCGCAGGCCUGAACCAGCCAAGUAGCGUGAAGGAUGACUGCCCUAUGGGUUGUAAACUUCUUUUAUAUGGGAAUAAAGUUUUCCACGUGUGGAAUUUUGUAUGUACCAUAUGAAUAAGGAUCGGCUAACUCCGUGCCAGCAGCCGCGGUAAUACGGAGGAUCCGAGCGUUAUCCGGAUUUAUUGGGUUUAAAGGGAGCGUAGGUGGACAGUUAAGUCAGUUGUGAAAGUUUGCGGCUCAACCGUAAAAUUGCAGUUGAUACUGGCUGUCUUGAGUACAGUAGAGGUGGGCGGAAUUCGUGGUGUAGCGGUGAAAUGCUUAGAUAUCACGAAGAACUCCGAUUGCGAAGGCAGCUCACUGGACUGCAACUGACACUGAUGCUCGAAAGUGUGGGUAUCAAACAGGAUUAGAUACCCUGGUAGUCCACACAGUAAACGAUGAAUACUCGCUGUUUGCGAUAUACAGUAAGCGGCCAAGCGAAAGCAUUAAGUAUUCCACCUGGGGAGUACGCCGGCAACGGUGAAACUCAAAGGAAUUGACGGGGGCCCGCACAAGCGGAGGAACAUGUGGUUUAAUUCGAUGAUACGCGAGGAACCUUACCCGGGCUUAAAUUGCAUUUGAAUAUAUUGGAAACAGUAUAGCCGUAAGGCAAAUGUGAAGGUGCUGCAUGGUUGUCGUCAGCUCGUGCCGUGAGGUGUCGGCUUAAGUGCCAUAACGAGCGCAACCCUUAUCUUUAGUUACUAACAGGUUAUGCUGAGGACUCUAGAGAGACUGCCGUCGUAAGAUGUGAGGAAGGUGGGGAUGACGUCAAAUCAGCACGGCCCUUACGUCCGGGGCUACACACGUGUUACAAUGGGGGGUACAGAAGGCCGCUACCUGGUGACAGGAUGCUAAUCCCAAAAACCUCUCUCAGUUCGGAUCGAAGUCUGCAACCCGACUUCGUGAAGCUGGAUUCGCUAGUAAUCGCGCAUCAGCCAUGGCGCGGUGAAUACGUUCCCGGGCCU
rnacentral:rRNA from 1 species